UGGGGAAUUUUCCGCAAUGGGCGAAAGCCUGAUCCAGCCAUGCCGCGUGCAGGAUGAAGGCCUUCGGGUUGUAAACUGCUUUUGUACGGAACGAAAAGACUCCUUCUAAUAAAGGGGGUCCAUGACGGUACCGUAAGAAUAAGCACCGGCUAACUACGUGCCAGCAGCCGCGGUAAUACGUAGGGUGCAAGCGUUAAUCGGAAUUACUGGGCGUAAAGCGUGCGCAGGCGGUUAUAUAAGACAGAUGUGAAAUCCCCGGGCUCAACCUGGGAACUGCAUUUGUGACUGCAAGGCUAGAGUACGGCAGAGGGGGAUGGAAUUCCGCGUGUAGCAGUGAAAUGCGUAGAUAUGCGGAGGAACACCGAUGGCGAAGGCAAUCCCCUGGGCCUGUACUGACGCUCAUGCACGAAAGCGUGGGGAGCAAACAGGAUUAGAUACCCUUGUAGUCCCUGAGCGGGCUGGCAAG
rnacentral:rRNA from 1 species